AGGUGGGGUCAUACCACCACUAAUGCACCGGAUCCCAUCAAAACUCUGCAGUUAAGAGUGCUUAGGCGAGUGUAGUACAAGGAUGGGUGACCUCCUAGGAAGUCCUCGUGUUGCACCCC
rfam:Gossypium arboreum cultivar AKA8401 contig_31033_5, whole genome shotgun sequence.